ensembl:lncRNA
UGAUGACCCUCUUGAUGCUCCUUCAGCUCUAUUAACCUGUCCUCCCAGGGAAGAGGCUGAGUCCUGGAGCAGUUCUGCCUUACACCUCACAACUUCAUGACGGAGCUGGGACUGAAUCCAGGUUUCCAUUUGGCACUGGCAGGGAAGCCAGGUGGAGUCAAUGAACAGUCAAGAACCAGUCUAGAUGACCCUACUGAACACCUGGAUGUGUGUGUUUCAAAGCAACCGCAGGUCAGUCUCAGAGCUCAGCUGGUCACAAGCAGUUGCUGCCACAGUGAAGCACUGAGAGUCACUCAAUAAGAGGAUCCACAAACCAAUCUUCCUAGGGAAGAGGACUCUGACCAGAUGUGCCCAGGCCCAGCGGGAUGUCAGGCGCUGCACAGCUAUCUUCUGUACCAACAAAAAAAACU